GUUAUUUAGCUUCCAUGUAUUUGUGUUCUUUCCAGAUUUUUUUGUAAUUGAUUUAUACAUUCAUACCAUUGUGGUCAGAGAAGAGGCAUGAUAUGAUUUCAGUUCUUUUUGAAAUUGUUGGGACUUAUUUUGCGGCCUAACGUGAUCUGUUCUGGAGAAUGUCCCAUGUGCCCUUGAAAACAAUAUUUAUUCUUUUGUUUUGGGAUAGAAUGUUCUGAAUAUACUUAUUAGAUCCAUCUAGUCCAAUGUGUCAUUCAAAGCCACUGUUUGUAUGUUGAUUUUCUGUCUGGAUGAUCUAUCCAUUGAUAUAAAUGGGGUAUUAAAGUCCCCUAAUAUUAUUUUAUUACGGUAAGUUUUUUUCUUUAAUAUCUUUCAAUAGUUGCUUUAUGUAUUAGGUACUUCUGUGUUGGGUACAUACAUUUUUUUAUUUUUUAUUUUUUUAAAUUUUUAACAUUCAUUUUUGAGAGAGAGAGCAUGAGUGGGGGAGGGUAGAGAGAGAGGGAGACAUAGAAUCCGAAGCAGGCUCCAGGCUCUGAGUUGUCAGCACAGAGCCCCGACGCAGGGCUCGAACUCAUGGACUGUGAGAUCAUGACCUGAGCUGAAGUCGGAUGCUUAACUGAAUGAGUCAACCAGGCACCCUGGGUACGUACAUUUUUACAAUUGUUUUAUUCUCUUGUUGGAUUACUCCCUUUAUCAUUAACUAGCUAAUGUUGUUGUCUCUUGUUACAGUUGUUGCUUAAGGUCUAUUUUAUCUAAUAUCAGGUACAGUUACCCAACUUUUUUAGUGCUUCCAUUUGCAUGGUAAAUGUUUUUACAUCCCUUUGCUUUCAAUCUGCAUGUGUCUUUAGGUCUGAAGUAAGUCUCUUGUAGGCGGCAUGUAUAUAGGUCUUGCUUUUUAAUCCAGUCACUCUAUGUCUUUUGAUUGGAGUUAUUAUUCCAUUUACAUUCAAAGUAAUUAUCAAUAGGUAUGUCUUUACUGACAUUUUGUAACUUGUUUUAUGGUUGUUUGUGUAGUUCUUCCCUGUUUCUUUCUUUGCUUGCUCUCUUCCCUUGUGGUGCUCUGGCCUUCUUUAAUGAUAUACUUGUCUUCCUUCCUUUUUAUUUUUUUGCGUAUCUGCUAUAGAUUUGUGAUUUGUGGUUACUAUUUGGUUAUAUAUAACAUCUUAUGCAUACAGCAGUCUACAUUAGAUUGGCGGUUGCUUAAAUUGGGAUCCAUUCUAAAAGCACCAGAUUUUUACCCCCCUCCAAGUUUUAUGUGUAUAUUUUAAACAUCCUUUUAUUUGUGAAUCCCUUAACUGAUGUUUAUACAUAUAAUUGAUUUUACUGUUCUUCUGUUUUAUCUCUGUAUUUGUAUCAUAUGUACAUAUCUAGUACAUGUACUUAUUUUAUUUCACUUUAAUUUUAAAUUUAUUUAAUCUCUACACAGUGUAUACAGAGCAAGAGUCAUAUGCAGAGAUCAAGAGUCAUAUGCUCUUCCCACUGAGCCAGCCAGGUGCCUCAAAUCUGGUACUUUUCUUGUUUUUAUUUGCUUAUGCCAGAUUUUUUUCAUAUUUUCUUCUGUUUAUAGCCUUUUCUUUCCACUCACAGUCCAUUUUAACAUUUCUUUUAUGACUGAUUUAGUGGUGAUGAACAUUUUUAACUUGUGUCUGUGAACUCUUUGUUUCUCUUUGUAUUUUGAAUGAUAGCCUUGCUGGGUAGAAUAUUUUUGGUUGCAGGUUCUUUCCCUUUCAGCACUCUGAAUAGAUCCAUCUCCCUCCUUUCUGGCCUGCAAAGUUUCUGAUGAAAAAAUCAGCUGACAGCCUGAUGCGUUUCCCUUGUAGGUGCCUGUUUUCUUUUCUCUUGCUGUUCUUAAGAUUCACUUUUUAUCACUACUUUUUGCCAUUCUAAUUAUUAUAUGUCUUGGUGUGAACCUCCUUGAGUUGAUUUUGUUGGGGUCUCUCUGUACCUCCUAGAUUUGGAUUUGUUUCCUUCCCCAGAUUAGGGAAGUUUUCAGCUAUUAUUUCCUUAAAUACAUUUUCUCCCCUUUUUUCUUUCUGUUCUCCUUCUAAGAUCCCUAUAAUGUGAUUGUUAUUACACUUGAUAAUAAUCCUGAGUUCCUUUAAUCUGUUCUCCAUUUUUAUUAUUAUUUUUCUUACUGCUUUUCAGCUGGUUGCUGUCCUCCAGGCUGCUGAUCCAUUCUUCUGCUUCCUUUCUAGUCUACUAUUUAUUUCCUAUAUGUAGUUUUAAAUGUUUAUUUAUUUUGAGAGACUGAGUGAGUGGGGGAGGGGCAGAGAGAGAGAGACUCCCACGCAGGCUCUGUGAUGUCAGCAUGGACAACAACGUGGGGCUCAAUCCCAGGAACUGUGAGAUCACAACCUGAGCUGAAACCAAGAGUCCAACACUCAACCGACUGAGCCACACGUGCGCCCCUCCCUAUAGUGUAUUUUAAUUUCAGUUAUUUAGUUCUUCAUUUCUGAUUGGUUGUUUGUUUAUUUUAGGUUUUCUGUCUCUUUGUUGAAGGUCUCAGUGAGAUCCUCCACUCUGUUCUCUCAUCCAGUAUCUUUAUGACCAUCUCUAUCAGGGUGAUAUUCAUCAGAAGCUAUGGAGAGAGUCCACCCCAGUGGAGCAGGUUGAAUGGAGUGAGUCUUCAGUAGAACACAGGGCGUGUGGUGUUAGCAAGAAACAGGUAUAAAUGUGAUGGAUAAAAGGAAAAAUAAAAACAGACUCAGUUGAAAGCUUACCUAUGAAAAUAACAGGAAAUAAUCUUCCUUUCAGAGGAGAAAGUAGAAAAAUAAUUGUUGGGCUGCAGAAAGAGGCAGAAUCUUAGGUGGAGUAAAGGCAUGUCAUUUUACUCCUCCAGCUUACCACAAGAAAACACUGUGGACAAAUACCAGAGUCACCUUCAGAAGAUUGUAAAUGGAAAAGAACAGAAGGCUGUCUGGCUAAGGAGCCAGGGAUGGAGUCACCCCGUGGAGAUGAGUCUCCUAUUGCUUUGUUUAUUUUUUCCUUGCCUCUGGUAUAUAUCUGACUGGGAAGUAGGAAAGACCACAACCCCAUAAAUAAAUAUCCAUAGUUUUAAUCAGUAAAGACUCCCUGCAAAGCCUCCUCUCUCUCUAUUCACAAAACUGUUUUGGCCAAAGUUGGCCCAGCAGAACAAAAACCGUUUAACCAUACCGACCUGUUGCCUAGACCAAUACCAGGGAAGAAAUUGUGCCCUUUCCCCAUCCCAUGGGGUGAAUUCUUUUGAAAUUAUCUAAAAGCACCCAGAUUGUGAGCUGGGGAGCCAAUGUCUCUCUGAGGGUUGGGGGAGUCCUCUGGACACUGAAUAUAGUCUUUGCUGUGAAACCCGGGUUCUGCUUUCCUUUUUGAGAUUCCAUUAAAAGUUCUGUGGUAGGACCCACUCAGCCCAGCCAUGAUCAUGCUCUUGCCCCCCACCCCCCCCGCCAUGAUCAAACUCUUCUGUGGGCUGUCAUAUUAGAUGAAUAUAAGACUUCUCUCUUGAGGGUUUUCACCUUGACAUUUUCUAGAAAAACCUAGUCACCUCUUCACCUCAUUUAUCUACAAAUUAAAGGCUAUCAUGGAGAGUUUUCAGAUUAACUGAUUCACUUUCUUUGCCCUUACUGCUUUUGUGACGGAGGUGACUUAGGUGACAGGAAAAGCCUGUGAUGAACUGUAAUCAGGAAUCAUGUUUUACUAAGUUAUAUACAGAACUGCACAAAAUAGUGCUAAAGCACGAGCAGUUGGAAAUGUUAAAAUCUGACUUUCUUUGGGUAAUUUGAUGACCUUGAGUAAAUCAUUUAAACUCUCUCUUACCUUUGUCUGCAAAUACCUACAGUAUACUUUUUAAAGUCCCAGAAAUGCUAUGAAUAUAUAAUUGUUUCAAGAGUGGAAAACUAUUCUAUUUCAAAAAGAAUGACAGUAUAAAUUCAAUAAGAAUGUAUGAUUUCGUGCAGUAAUGAGUGAUGAAUAAAAAGAUUCUCUCUCUCUUUGCCUUUUUCCGGCUGCACACUGGUACUCUGAAAUGUACUUGUUAUGCCUCGUCCUUCUCCACACGGAGCUGGUUAGGCACAGACUCAAUGAAUAGAUUCACCUUUAAUGUUCUUUAAGUUCCAUUCAAGCCACCAUUUCACUGUAUGCACUUUACCUCAAAUAAUAAGUUCGUUUACACGUAUUCAAUUCUAAAUACAAUAUAGUGCUGGUAUUGAAUAGUACCUAAUCAGUAGCAAAAAUAUGUGACAAAGCCUUGUCCACUUAACUUUUUUCUCUCCAGACUGACUGUAGUAGGUACUAAUUACUAUACUCUUUCAUAUUAAAGUAAUCUGUGAU